UGGCUCAGUUGGUAGAGUAUGGCACUUGCAAUGCAAAGGUUGUGGGUUCAAGUCCCAU
rnacentral:tRNA from 1 species